rnacentral:rRNA from 1 species
UACAGAGGGUGCGAGCGUUAAUCGGAAUUACUGGGCGUAAAGCGUGCGUAGACGGUUAUUUAAGUCGGGUGUGAAGGCCCCGGGCUCAACCUGGGAAUUGCAUUCGAGACUGAAUAGCUAGGGUACGGUAGAGGGAAGCGGAAUUUCCGGUGUAGCGGUGAAAUGCGUAGAUAUGCGGAGGAACACCGGUGGCGAAGGCGGGACUCUGGGCCGAUACUGACGCUGAGGAGCGAAAGCGUGGGGAGCGAACAGG